AAUCUGGCGCAAUGGGCGAAAGCCUGACGCAGCCAUGCCGCGUGAUUGAUGAAAGUCUUAGGAUUGUAAAAUUCUUUCACCGGGGAAGAUAAUGACGGUACCCGGAGAAGAAGCCCCGGCUAACUUCGUGCCAGCAGCCGCGGUAAUACGAAGGGGGCUAGCGUUGCUCGGCAUUAUGGGGCGUAAAGGGAGCGUAGGCGGACAUUUAAGUCAGGGGUGAAAUCCCAGAGCUCAACUCUAGAACUGCCUUUGAUACUGGGUGUCUUGAGUGUGAGAGAGGUAUGUGGAACUCCGAGUGUAGAGGUGAAAUUCGUAGAUAUUCGGAAGAACACCAGUGGAGAAGGCGACAUACUGGCUCAUUACUGACACUGAGGCGCGAAAGCGUGGGGAGCAAACA
rnacentral:rRNA from 1 species